ACUUCCGUUACUUGUUUAGCCAAUUAGCCCCCUUCCUGAAGAACCCUCGAAUCUCUCUCUCCACAUAUAUAUACAGAUAGAUUUGACAAUCGUUUGAAUUGGAUCUGGUAGAAAACAAUGUCAAUUCACUUCAAAUUCAGGAGCUGUCCAAGCUUCGAUUCCGUUGAUAUAGACGGCCGGCCGUCUAUCUCGGUGCGGGAGCUGAGGUUGAAGAUCAUCCGCCGCAAGAAUCUCAACAUUUGUCAGGACUUUGAUCUCGUUUUCUCUGACGCCCUCUCCGGCCAAGAGUAUAAUGACGAAAAUUUUCAGAUUUCGAGUGGGUCAAGUGUAAUUGUCAAGAGAGUUCCCGCUGGAACGAUCCCUUCAACUACUAAGCCGCCAAUUGGUAUAGUGAAGGAUUUAGGGCUGAAAGAUGCUGAUCUUAUUUAUCAUGCAAGUGGGCAAGUAGAUGUAUUUGAUGACUUUGGGGCUGACAUUUGUCCGGUGGCUGAGGGAACAUUUCUCGACAGUGAUGUAGGGUUUGGCAAUAAGAACUGCUGGGACUUUGAGAAAGAAAACCUUUCUGGUCCAAGGUUUCAGAAUCAAAAGCUUGAUUCAAGUGACCUAAGUCAAGCUAUCCAAAGAGGUUCUAAUCAAAGCAAGAAUGAUGCAAAAUUACCUGAACCAAAAACUGGAGAUGUGGCAACAUUGCAAAAGGUGGUAAACCCCAAUAUUCCAGCAUUGCCCAAUUGUAAUUUGCCAGCAGAACUGAAAUGCCCUCUCUGCAACACCUUUUUUAAGGAUGCUGUGAUGAUACCUUGUUGCCAGCACAGUUUUUGUGAGAAAUGCAUUCGUCUAGUUCUUCUUGAAAAGGCGAUGUGCCCAAAAUGCCUUUCUAGUAGAUGUAAAGUGGAAAAUCUGCUACCAAAUUUAUCUCUCAGGCAAGCGAUUGAGCAUUUUCUUGAAUCUCAGAUGGUUGUCACUGGGUCAGAAAAUGCUUUACGCAAAUAUGCUCCAGAUGGUGAAUCUGGAAUUCAGAUGAAGGAUGUUUCCUGUGCGGUUACUGUUGUACAACGGGAACCAGAGAUGCCUCAUUCACCCUCAGCUACUGGAAAAGGAUCCAAUCAAGUAAUGGCAGAAUCUUUUUAUGACUCACUUAUUCGGAAGAAUUCAAGGACAAUGCAACAAAUGGAUGGAGGAAGAGGUCGAUAUGCUAAUCAUUGGAACUUUCCAAGUGUACCUGAUGACCCAGAAGAUCGUCAGGGUGAAAGCAAGCCUCUUAAUUUGCUUCAUUCACAUGUUCAGGAUGAAGCUGAUUCUUCCAUCAAGAAGAAUAAAGGCCAGUGGUGUGACACAAGAGGCGGGGACGUGAAUUUUCUGCCUGCUGGUAGAGUUAAAAAGGACCGUAACUGUUACAUGUGUGGUUCUCCUGAUCAUCUCAUCAGAGACUGCGCUUUUGCUUCCAAUCCAAAUCCGAUGCUUCAGACAGGAAAUCCCAUGCUUACGGGUGGGUUUCCUGGCUAUCCAUCACCUUACUGGAAUAGCAAUACUUUUUCCACAUUGAGGCCAUUUGCAAAUAUGUAUGGUAAUGCCGGAAAUGCUCCAUAUGCUUAUAUGGUUCCUCCAACACCUUUUACUGCUCCAUAUAUGCGAUCAAUGCAUGGUGGCGUGCCUUUACCUGGAGGAAUCAUGAGAAUGGGUGGUAUGGCACUUCCAGCUGGAAACAGGGAUGAUCUGCCAUUGAACCAAUAUGAGUACAUGGGCUUCCAGCUUGCGGAAGAUAAAUGCAGAAUUCAGAAUGAAAAACUGGGAAGUGGGCAACAUUGUCAGGCUGAGUCUAACUUAAAGGAGCAUUACCCAAAAAAUGAUCGAGAAGCAUCAGGAAAGUUCCAUAAGGAGAGGGAACCAAGUACAAGUUGUUCUGGGGACAGCUUUGUUCGAAGAACACGGAGAAAGCACCUCCAUGUUGAGAAAAGAAGGGAGAGAAGUCCUCGUUCCUCAUCUGCUAGUAGAGAUAAGGUGCCUCGUCACUCUGACAGGUCCAAUUCUGUCACUGAUGGUUUUCCUAGUAGUUCUGGUAAGCGAAGGAGAGAAAGUCAUCAACACCAUAAUCGGGACUCAAGAAAGCGCCAUGAGUGUGAUUCUACUUUGGAUCACUAUCAAGCCUCUGAUCGUAAACACAGAGUCGAUUCUCAUGUAAGAGAAUCUCAUCAGAAGCAUCACCCAAGUUCUGCACUAGAACCUAGUUCACCUGUGCACCAGAAAGCACGAUUCAAAGAAAGGGGUUCUGGGCAUGAUCCAAAGUACUCUAGGUCCCAUGCAAGAGACUCCAGCGAUGAGGUACAUGACAACAAGAGACGGAGAAGCAGCGGCUCCUUUGAAGAUUACCGAGACGAUUAUUAUCACAAGCGAAACAGAGUUCAUUGAGGGUAAUGAACAUGACUCAUGUGGUAAACUUGUAAAUGAAGUUGCGCUCAAAUCAGUGUAGGUGAUCAACCAGGUUCCUGUUUCCUUUCAAAUAGAUCUGUAGAAUGGUCGGCUUUUGGACAGUAACAUCAUGACUAACCUUUGUUCAUAUUCCUAACUAAUCCUCUUCACUUCUUUAGUGUGAGGUCUGGAUGCUAGACAAAGGUUUUAACCAGAAGCCAUCUGGUUACAAAUAGUAUUUUGGAUCAUUUUAUAUGCUGCCCAACAAUCCUUUUGGACAAAGGUAUGGAAGCUGAUUUGAGGUAUGUUCUCUGUCUUGAAUUUGGAAUAGGUUUGUUAAUGCUUGCUGCAGGUAAGUUCUCAACCCCUUUCACUGGAUCUGGGACAAGUUCCUCUUCGAGUCCUAUUCACUUAAUUUGGUCCACCUACCAAUUCCUUUUACCUACCAACUAAAUCUAUCAAAUAAAAUAAUAAUUGCUACGUUACCCGUCAAUAUAAUCUAUGAGUACUAUGAUAACAUAACUUACGAUAAAGUUAUACCGCGAUAUGUUGUAAGGUUAUACCGCGAUAUGUUGGUGAGAUGCGUAUAUAUUCAAACAAUAGACGAACAAGCACUUGUGGAACCUUCCGUGGUUCACUGCGCCUGAUGAGUUCUAACUUAAGAUCUUGUAUCAUGGUACCCCAAGUGGGCCUCUCUUAUAUUGCACGGUGGUAAAAGUGUGGUCUGGCAUUACCUGGAACAUGAGGAAAUUCCUCUGACAAUUCCUGGACGAGAACCUACGGGAUCGCCUUCGAUUUCUUAAUGAAAGCUCCCAAUAUAUUUAUUUGAUAGUAAAGAAAUGAUAAAUUCUAAUUAAACAUAAAUCUUAGGAUGGCAGUGGUGUGACCAUGUUCAGACCCGUAUUAGAUGAUGUCAGGAUGUAUGCUGUCUGACACAAUCUCCAUGGUUUUUACGGAUGUCUAUGAAAGUGUGGUUUGUCGACAACAGCAUACAUUAUAGUCGCGCUCGAUAAGUUUUCACGUAUAUUGCUUAUGCGGUUCAUCACAACAGUAUUCGCUAUCAAAGUAUUUUAGGAGAGUUCUGUUUGAGGUAGGUUGAGACCACAGAUCAAUCGGGAUGAAAACGUAAUCACAUCUAGUAUUUACAUCAACCUAGUCCUAAUGUGACAUGUUCUUACAUGCACAUUUACAAAGAUAUACCCCAGUUUAUUGUUUAACCAUUAUAAAUUACUAUGUUUUGUGCAAGUAUCGGGUGCUUAUGUUUUUUGCCUAAUGUCGCUAGGUACAGUAUGUGCCAUAUGGUACAUGAAUCAGAAAGGGGAGGAUUUACUUGUGUGAUUUAUCUGCCAUAUAGCAGGCACUUUAUUGCAUAGUUAAUUAGAUUGAUUAAUACACACUUGCUCAACAGAGUAGUAGCUGAACUGUUGCUUGCUUCCAAGCCAUGCAUUAUCCUUAUUACUUCUUGAAACACUUUCCUCGCCGUCUGUCCCUCCAGAAACACACUCCCCCCUCCCCCCACCCCCCUCCCACGCGCUCAAAAGAAAGAUAACGGGCUCACUCGUUUUGUUUUCUUUGUGUUCUUCGGAAAAUGCAAAGGAAUUGGUGAGCGUCAAGGUUGCACUGACAAUACGUCAUACUUCAUUAGUGCCUUCAUCCUCCCCCCACACUACACACACGCACCAAAAAGUAAAUCAGGAGAAGGGGAGGGCCGAAAAGAAAAAGGACCGAGCUCUUUCAUCAUUUCAUAAUUCCUUCAAAGAAAAUUUUGUGAACUGGGAGAAACACUCCUACAGUAAUUUUCUCAACGUAGGAUUGCCGAUGGGCUCUUCAAAAUAGUUGCACUCGACCUUAUUGGGAUGUACUUUAUGCGGGCAGUUGUGAAUCGGUCUCUUACCAUGCAGAUUCUUCUUUUAGCCAAUAACUAUUGGUGUUGUGUAUUAAGCAUCAGUUAUUUGGCCUGAUCUAAUUGUAGGGAUUCUUGCAACUUUAAGCCUAGAGCUUUUAAGAGGAUGAAUUUGAUUUUGGCUUAGUACGAAAUUGGCUUGAGAUGAACAGGUCAUGCCCUGACCUCUAAAGUUGCUUGGGUAAAACUCGGUUGGUUCAGUUAGGGUUGAGUAACAGUUAAUAACGCAACCUGCGCAUUACCAAUUCAAGUCAAACUAACGGAGAAUUCCAUCUACUUCUUGACGGUUGUUUUGGGGCAAGUGUAUUAGGGUGCUAUUUAGAGAUUGGCGGCAUUUAUUUUGUCGUGAAAUUGUAAACUAAAAAUAAUAACUUCAGGACAUUUUUAUCCCGAAAAAUUGAAUUGAAAAGUUGAAAUUCAUGACGUAUUAGCUAAUUCUUAUAUAACAGCCCUUAAGAGUGGAUACCUAGUGUCAUUUCUACGUUGUUUUAUGGGUCAAUUUGGGCUUUUUAGGUAUGUCAAGUUGACCUUAUUUUUUGAAGAGAAAUUUUCAUAAAGCACUAUCUUUUAGUGGUAAUUAGCUAUCUAUAGAUACCAUUUGCUAUAUUACGGAUAGUAAAUACGCUUUCUAUUAUUAUAAGAUGUAUUAGAUGUAUUUAAGCUACUAUAUUCAUGAAUACAGUAGCAAAAAUAGGCAUGAACCAGGGAAGUUCAGCUAAUCAGUUGUUGUAUUCGACUGUUUUCAUGGCGUGAAAUAUGGGAUUACAGUUGGACAGAUUAUUGUAUUCAACUGUAUUCACGGCGUGAAACAGGGGAUUAUACUGUUUUUAAACGGAAA